rnacentral:rRNA from 1 species
GGAGUUUGGACCGUCUCUCAGUUCCAAUGUGGCCGAUCACCCUCUCAGGUCGGCUACCGAUCGUCGACUUGGUGGGCCGUUACCUCACCAACUAUCUAAUCGGACGCGAACUCACCCCAAACCGGAUCGCUCCUUUUACCCCUGAGCCAUGCGACUCUGUGGUCUUAUGCGGUAUUAGCACUUGUUUCCAGGUGUUAUCCCCCUGUCUGGGACAGAUUGUUCACGCGUUACUCACCCGUCCGCCACUCGAAUCAGUCUCCCUUCCGCCGAAGCCUCCGUUCCUCUGAUCCUCGUUCGACUUGCAUGUGUUAAGCACGCCGCCAGCGUUCGUCCUCGAGCCAGGAGUCAAACUACU